UCCCUGGUGGCUCAGUCAGUAAAGAGUCUGCCUUCAAUGAAGGAGACCCAGGUUCAAUCCCUGGUCGGGAAG
rfam:Ovis aries breed Texel chromosome 5, whole genome shotgun sequence.